rnacentral:rRNA from 1 species
UACGGAGGGUGCAAGCGUUGCUCGGAAUUAUUGGGCGUAAAGGGUAGGUAGGUGGUCUCAUUUGUCUUGUGUGAAAGCCUUGGGCUUAACUCAAGAAGUGCGCAAGAAACGGUGAGACUCGAGUACUGGAGAGGGUCGUGGAAUUCCCGGUGUAGCGGUGAAAUGCGUAGAGAUCGGGAGGAACACCAGAGGCGAAGGCGGCGACCUGGACAGUUACUGACACUCAACGACGAAAGCGUGGGGAGCAAACAGG